ACAAAAAAAAAUAUCAACAAGUCUGGACACACACACUGGAUGCUACUUUUCUUUUGUCUCACAGAGCAAUAGGAACAAGGAAAGAAAAUUCUGCCUAAAAAUGCACUUCCAGGGAGGAAAAGGCCCCACAAAACAGAUACAAGCACAGGGGGUUGGAAGUUUAAUACAGAAAAUCUAUUUGAUAUUUAUUAAACUUAGUUUCUCCAGUUACAGUUUUGCAUUGUACAAAGCAUUUUAAUGACACAGUAGUUAAAAAGAUCUUUACAAAUUGAAAUGUGAUACCCUUUUCUCCAAAUAUUUUAAUUGCCAUAAAUUUGUUUAAAAAUACACAUUAAACGCAUGUUUCAGACACUAAACUUUCUAUAAUCUCAAUACCACAAAAUACAUAGAAUAUACUAUACAGAUGUGGAAAAAAUCUAGUUAGUAUAUAAUACUUUGCUCACCAUUAACAGCUUUAUUACGUGAAAUGCACAUACUGACUUAGAAAUCCUAAUUUUGAGCCCCAAAGUACCCUUUGAAAUUUCAAAUGUAUUGCAACAAAUAAAAUCACAGUUUGUUUCUAUUUUUUCUGGUUUUGGUUGAAGACAGAUGCCCAAAUCUUUUGAUAGAAAACAAAAUGUAACACAUGGACUUGUCAUGUACAAAGCAUAAAACAGAGACAUCCCAUUAGUUACUAAUAGUACCUUUCUGUAGGAUUAAUCAGGGCUUCAUUUAUAAGUGACAGGUUAAAAGUUACCUCCCCUCCCCAGCCCUCCCCCAAAAGAAAAACCCCUUCUUCACCAAAUAAUAAUUUCAAAUAAGAUAAAGGAUUUUUAAUAAAUAUAUAAGCACUUUAUCCUCCAUAUACAAAAUUUUUUUAAAACAAUUUAAAAGGGGGACCAGAUACAAAUGUCAGGAACUGUGCUUGGAAAGUCAUGCCUGGUCCUUGGAGUAGAGUUUGGGAUGUGGAAUGCCAAGGCAGUGCCAGGAGCCGGUGCUGGGACAGGGCUGGGGACUGGAGCCAGGCUGCCCCAGGAAGGGGCACACAGCCCAGGAAUUCAGCUCCAGGUGGGGGGAGACCAGGGGAAGCAUGGCCACAGCAGAGCCCAGAUCACACAGCCCCAGGAAUUCAGCUCCAGGUGGGAUGAAGCCAGGGCCACAGCAGAGCCCAGCUCACACAGCCCCAGGAAUUCAGCUCCAGGUGGGAUGAACCAGGGCCACAGCAGAGCCCAGCUCCCUGCGAGCUGCCUCGGCAGCUGGAGCUGCUCCCCUGCAGCCAGGGGAGCCCAGCCCGGGACCCCUUCCCUCCCCAGGGGCAGCCCAGCCCCAGAGCCUCGGACACAGCAGGAGCCACUGGCACCCCCUGCUCGGGAAGGCCCCUCUGAACAGCUCUGCAGCUGGGUGAGUUGGUGAGCAAAGCUCUGGCUCCUCUCUGUCCCUCAGGAUGCCCAGCACUGACCUCACUGCUCGGGAACAGGAGUUUUCCAGAACACUGACACAGCGCAGGGAGAAGGUUCAACCCUGACCCAAGGAUUUGUCGUGAAGGUAAGAAUUUGGAAGUUGUUUACUCCCCAAUGGGUAAUUCAAACUUGACUUGCUCAGGCCCUUGUGGAUCUGCCUCAAUGGAAACACUGCAGUGACAGCAAAGAUCUGUUCAGAAAAUGACAUUAAAUACAGCAAAGGUAGUUUCUCUCUCUCUCCAGCAGUUUGCCUUUUGGGCAAACUCCAUAAUUCUCUGCCUACGGCUUUAUUUUACUUGCCCCAGGCAAGUGCUACAUCAUUCCCAUAAAUUCUGACUCUCUGUGUCUUGGGGCCAUUCAUAAAUACAUUUCAGGGCAUUUUUUGUUACCACAGCAAUCAAGCCUCAGCAAUCUAAAGGAAUAUACAUUGCACUCCUGGAUAAUAUGCAAUAUUUAUCACCAAUAAGAUGGUGACUCAGCACUCAAUAAAUAAUAUAUCAAUAUAGUCAGUUGCACCAUAAUCUAAAAACAAGUAUAACAUAUACUUUGGACAGACUGAGUCAUAUAUAUAUACAUAUAUAUUAAAAGACACAUACAAUACAAAUUGCAUACUGCCAUCGAAGCCAAGGAGAGCCAUCCGUCUGCUCUGCUUUAUGGCUGAGAUUCAAAUCAAAACAAAACUCUUGGGCUGGUUUACUCUGGGGUCCUGAAGAUUUGUUUGGAAUUACAAAUGGUUUGCACCUUUAUCACCUGGAACCUGCAAGUCUGAGAGCAAAGUCAAACAGCACAGAUAGCUGAGCAAGCCUAGUCUGAUUGAGCCAUUUUUAAGAUUCACCAACUGGGGCCAUGAUCAGCAAGGGAAUUAAAUUACAGCAUUGAUAUGUAUUGAUCCAUAUUCCCUGUCCAGGGAAUCAUUUGGGAAGCCAGGAUUGGGGAGUCUCUCCUUAGUCACUCCUGUGACCUGCACUCCCCCUGUGGUGCUGGGAGCUGCCCAGGACAGGGACAGAGCCCUCCUGCUUUGGCAGAGGGAUGGAAGCCUAGGACUUAUUUGCUUUUUUUUUUUUUUGGCUA